rnacentral:rRNA from 1 species
CUAAGUUUGAUGGCGAUCGGCGCACGGGUGAGUAACACGUAUCCAACCUGCCGAUAACUCUGGAAUAGCCUUUCGAAAGAAAGAUUAAUACCGGAUAGUAUACGAAUAUCGCAUGAUAUUUUUAUUAAAGAAUUUCGGUUAUCGAUGGGGAUGCGUUCCAUUAGUUUGUUGGCGGGGGUAACGGGCCCACCAAGACUACGAUGGAUAGGGGUUCUGAGAGGAAGGUCCCCCACAUUGGAACUGAGACACGGUCCAAACUCCUACGGGAGGCAGCAUG